rnacentral:rRNA from 1 species
AGAGUUUGAUCCUGGCUCAGAUUGAACGCUGGCGGCAUGCCUAACACAUGCAAGUCGAACGGUAGCAGGCCUUCGGGUGCUGACGAGUGGCGGACGGGUGAGUAAUGCGUAGGAAUCUGUCUUUUAGUGGGGGACAACCCAGGGAAACUUGGGCUAAUACCGCAUGAGCCCUGAGGGGGAAAGCGGGGGAUCUUCGGACCUCGCGCUAAGAGAAGAGCCUACGUCUGAUUAGCUAGUUGGUGGGGUAAAGGCCUACCAAGGCGACGAUCAGUAGCUGGUCUGAGAGGACGACCGGUACACACUGGACUGAGACACGCC